rnacentral:rRNA from 1 species
AACGAAGGCUUCGGCCUUAGUGGCGCACGGGUGAGUAACGCGUGGGAACCUGCCUCUUGGUUUGGAAUAACUGCGGGAAACUGCAGCUAAUACCGGAUACGUCGAUCCUCUGUGGUGGAGGGUUGGGAAAGAUUUAUCGCCGAGAGAGGGGCCCGCGUUCGAUUAGGCAGUUGGUGAGGUAACGGCUCACCAAGCCUACGAUCGAUAGCUGGUCUGAGAGGAUGAUCAGCCACACUGGGACUGAGACACGGCCCAGACUCCUACGGGAGGCAGCAGUGGGGAAUAUUGGACAAUGGGCGCAAGCCUGAUCCAGCAAUGCCGCGUGAGUGAUGAAGGCCUUAGGGUUGUAAAGCUCUUUCGGCGGGGACGAUGAUGACGGUACCCGCAGAAGAAGCCCCGGCUAACUUCGUGCCAGCAGCCGCGGUAAUACGAAGGGGGCUAGCGUUGUUCGGAAUUACUGGGCGUAAAGGGCGCGUAGGCGGCGAAGCAAGUUAGGCGUGAAAGCCCCGGGCUCAACCUGGGAAUUGCGCUUGAUACUGCUUUGCUUGAGUUCGGGAGAGGUGAGUGGAAUUCCCAGUGUAGAGGUGAAAUUCGUAGAUAUUGGGAAGAACAC